rnacentral:rRNA from 1 species
GUGCGCCUACGGGGCGCAGCAGUGAGGAAUAUUGGUCAAUGGGCGGAAGCCUGAACCAGCCAAGUCGCGUGAGGGAAUAAGGCCCUACGGGUCGUAAACCUCUUUUGCCGGGGAGCAAGGGCCGGGACGCGUCCCGGCCCGGAGAGUACCCGGAGAAAAAGCAUCGGCUAACUCCGUGCCAGCAGCCGCGGUAAUACGGAGGAUGCGAGCGUUAUCCGGAUUUAUUGGGUUUAAAGAGUGCGUAGGCGGAUUUUUAAGUCAGCGGUAAAAUGUCCGGGCUCAACCCGGGCCGGCCGUUGAAACUG